CCGGAGCGGCUCCGGACUGAACCGCAAUUACCCCGCGUUUCCCGCGCUUUUCCCUCAGAGAGACGCGGUCCGGAGCUGAGCAGUUCUGACUGAGUACAGCCAGCAUUCGCCAUCUCUCGGAGACCUGCAGCUUUAAGCGACUUUUGCACAUUUAUUUGUUCUGGGUGAGAGAGCAGAGAAGGACGAGAAGACGCUUCUUUGGUAAGUACACCAUUCAUUUACCAUUUAUAUUGAGAAACUGUUACUUUAUGAACAAAUACAUUGACUUUCUACAUCUUAAGAUGAGUUUUAU
rnacentral:lncRNA from 1 species